rnacentral:rRNA from 1 species
GGUCGGGAGGACUGCUGGCUUUCACGAGUCGGCUUUCCUUGUAUUAUCCAGGCCUAUGUUAUUCACAUACCCCAAAGAAUGUAACAGAAUGUAUCGUAUGGCCUUGUGCCUAUAAACUAUAUACAACUUUCAGCAACGGAUCUCUUGGCUCUCGCAUCGAUGAAGAACGCAGCGAAAUGCGAUAAGUAAUGUGAAUUGCAGAAUUCAGUGAAUCAUCGAAUCUUUGAACGCACCUUGCGCUCCUUGGUAUUCCGAGGAGCAUGCCUGUUUGAGUGUCAUUAAAUUCUCAACCUUAUUAGCUUUUGCUGAUAAUGGCUUGGACUUGGGGGUCUUUUGCUGGCUUUCAUUAGUCUGCUCCCCUUAAAUGUAUUAGCUGGCGCCCCGCAGUGGACCGUCUAUUGGUGUGAUAAUUAUCUACGCCGUGGAUGUCUGCUUUUAAUGGGUCUUUGCGCUGCUUCCACUCGUCCUCUCGGACAAUACAAAUGACAAUUUGACCUCAAAUCAGGUAGGACUACCCGCUGAACUUAAGCAUAUCAA